GGCAGCACUCGAUUCAUUUCAGUUCGGCUUCAGUUCUCCGUGUGUUUCGACGUCACUUUUUUUAAUUGAAUGUAUUAAAUACAUUUGAUUUGUACUCUGGUUAAUUUAUUUAAAGUAUUUAUUUACUAAAAAUUAAAUUAUUAUUUAUUUUUUAAUUACAAUACUUAUGAAUAAUUUUAAUUAAUUUAUUAAUAUAAAAAUAGAUCUAUAUUUUUAUACAAAUAUGAGUGAAAAACGUAAAGAAGUUCGUGUAUGGUGUGAUGGAUGUUAUGACAUGGUACAUUUUGGACAUGCUAAUUCUCUGAGACAAGCUAAAGCUCUUGGUGAUUAUUUAGUUGUUGGAGUACAUACUGAUGAAGAAAUAUCAAAACAUAAAGGACCACCGGUUUUUACACAAGAGGAAAGGUACAAAAUGGUACGAGGUAUAAAAUGGGUAGAUGAAGUUGUUGAAGGUGCUCCUUACGUUACAACUCUAGAAACAUUAGAUAAAUAUAAUUGUGAUUUUUGUGUACACGGUGAUGACAUCACAAUGACAGCUGAUGGAGUUGAUACAUAUCAUCUUGUAAAAGCUGCAGGUCGAUAUAGAGAAGUUCAAAGAACAGCUGGUGUUUCAACGACAGAUUUAGUAGGACGUAUGCUACUGAUGACUAGACAACAUUUCAAACAAGGUGACAGUGAAUACAGUGUAGAUAGAGAACCGAGCGAAAGUAUGGGUCAAGAUAGAUCAGCUCGUAGCCCCUGGACAGGAUGCUCACAAUUUUUACCUACAACUCAAAAAAUAAUUCAAUUCAGUGAUGGAAAGAGUCCACAACCUGGUGAUAAAAUAGUUUAUGUUGCUGGAGCGUUUGAUUUAUUCCACGUUGGGCAUUUAGAUUUUUUGGAAGUUGCUAAACGGGAAGGGGAUUAUUUAAUUGUUGGAUUACACACUGAUCCAGCAGUUAAUCGUUACAAAUGUGGUAAUCAUCCUAUUAUGAAUCUUCAUGAACGAGUUCUCAGUGUACUAGCUUGCAAGUACGUCAAUGAAGUCGUUAUUGGUGCGCCUUAUGAAGUGACGAAAGAUUUAAUGGAACACUUUAAUGUUUCCGUUGUUUGUCAUGGUCAAACACCAAUAAUGCCAUGUGAACGCGGUACUGAUCCUUAUACUGAACCUAAAAGACAAAAUAAAUUUAAAUUAUUGGAUAGUAAAAAUGAUAUGACAACCGAGAAAAUCAUUGAAAGAAUUAUUUUACACAGGUCAGAGGAGCUUUAUUCAAUUAUAGCGUGCUUGAACAAGCGAUAAUUCAUUGCAUUUUUAUAUUUUGUAAUUAGUUAUUGCUCAAAUUUCCAAUAAAACAUCCUUUAUUCUUGUUAAUAAUUAUCUCUAUUUUUUUUCUUUUUAAAUAUUUUUAGGUAUAUUUCUUUUAGAAAUAUAGCUAUUGUAGAGGGUCUCAUGUUGCAAUUUUCAAAGAAUUUUACUGUAAUAUGUUUUAUUUUGCCGAGAAACGCCGAAAAAUGCCAUCAAUUAAAAAAUUUAAAUAUGCAUGUAAUAUAACGCGCCAUGUCAGAUGCUGGCUACAAUUUUUAUCGGAUCUUAAUGAAACUUAGUACGCUUGUUCUUUGAGAAAUUACCUUGAUCAAGUUCGAAGAUGAGCAAAAUUGAUCGAAUAAUUUAGAAGAUGUGGGUGUUUUAAUUUUUUUUAAUUUUCGUAAAAAUAGCAUUUUAUAUAAAACGACAACUUAAUUUCGUAAAAUACAUCUUGUAGUUCGUGAAAUUAGCUUUAAUUUUCACUACAUAAACUUGUGUUUUAUAAAAAUUUCUUUAAACAAAUUAAUGAUUUCGAAUAUUUGAAAAAAAUUGAAAUAAUUUGAAAAUAAGAAAUAUACCUUUUCAUUCCGGGUAUGGCCGGGUGGCACUUUUUAUAUUAAUUUGUUUUUAUUAUUACUUUUUUUUUUUUUUGCAUCGUGACAUCACAUUACAAUUGCUUCCUACCUGAUAAGAUAAAAGAGUUACAAAUAACUAUUCAAAUAUUAUUAACGAAUCGCUAUCGAAUAGUUAACUGUAUUCUUUACUUGAAAUAAUUAUAAACGAUUAUUUGUAUAUUAUAACGAAGUUGAUAGCAUUGAAAUGUUGGAAUUCGAGGAUAGAAAUUUAAAAAAGGAGAAAAAAGAAAUUGCUGCUCACGAAGCCUUCAUUAAAUCACAAAAAAAGGAAAU